rnacentral:rRNA from 1 species
UGGGGAAUAUUGGGCAAUGGGCGAAAGCCUGACCCAGCAACGCCGCGUGAGGGAAGAAGGUUUUCGGAUUGUAAACCUCUGUCCUAAGGGACGAAGGAAGUGACGGUACCUUAGGAGGAAGCCCCGGCUAACUACGUGCCAGCAGCCGCGGUAAUACGUAGGGGGCGAGCGUUGUCCGGAAUGACUGGGCGUAAAGGGCGUGUAGGCGGCAGUAUAAGUCCGGAGUGAAAGUCCUGCUUUCAAGGUGGGAAUUGCUUUGGAGACUGUACAGCUUGAGUGCGGAAGAGGUAAGUGGAAUUCCCAGUGUAGCGGUGAAAUGCGUAGAGAUUGGGAGGAACACCAGUGGCGAAGGCGACUUACUGGGCCGUAACUGACGCUGAGGCGCGAAAGCGUGGGGAGCGAACAGGAUUAGAUACCCUGGUAGU